GUUGUGUAUCGUGUGAUGCUUCCCUAACACGAAAACAUAAAUCUUGUGGUGUAACAUUUUACAGGUUAACCUACGAAUCACAACAUAUUACAUGGACGUAGCUUAGGCUGGUCAUUAAGAUAUACGAAAUGGUGCACAGAACCAUUAUUUGGUGUAUUUUGUAAAAAGGCAAAAACUUAGUUAUCAACAUCCUAGUACCAUUCGAUAGGUAAUUAAAAAUU
rnacentral:lncRNA from 1 species